AGGAGGCUUGGUCUGGAACCUUGGAAUUUGCCUGGUCUGAUUGAUGGAAGUCAUCCAACCCUGUCUCAGUGGUUGACAGAGGCUUUGCAUCAAGCAUCACAGAUAGACUCUGGAGCCCAAGAGCAAGGACCACUGCACAGAGGAAGUCAGAAUCCAAAGAAGACCCCUGCCAAUGAAUGUAGACCAUCUGCAAUAGUCAUUAGUAAAGUUUCUCCUUAUAAAUGUUUCCCUAUCUUAUGUCCAAGAUAUAUAACCCCUAGACUUUCCACUUCUAAAAUAACUUUCCUUCUUGGAAGGAUUUAGUCACUAAAAUGCAUGAAGAAGGCUAGAAGGUAUUAGUGUGCUAGUAUAUUUUAGAGAAAAGGGACCAAGUUAAAGACAGAACUGAAAACCUGGACCUACCUCUAACACUACCUACAUCACAAUGAGGAAAUCCAAGUAUUCAGUGUCCAUAACCAUUAAACAGAGGAAAUGAGUGAAUGAGGACCCUGACACAGCUCAUCUGAACUGAUGAUGCAUAUAAUUAUGACAUCAUCACUGUUGCACAUUUAUAAAAUGAAUUGUACUUUUAACAAAUGAAAAAUAAUAAUCAAA